rnacentral:lncRNA from 10 species
AAAAAGAAAGGGGUCCUGGAACCCAUCCCCCGUGGAGACCGAGGGACGAUUGUGCUGCACCCUCCAUGGAAACAAAGGAUGAAAUUCCUAAGAGUGGCAUUUUGGGCAACACCAAGACAAUGGAGGAAGCUGUGGAAUAAGCAGGAAGGAAAAUGGCUUCCUGAUGCUCCUGAAAUCAAAGCCUGUUAAUUCAUUCGGUUGAGUUAUUCAUUCUGGCUCAGCUCAAAACCACUGACAGCUCAAGCAAAGGCAUCCCAGUGGCCCAAACCCCAGGUCACCUGAUAAUCAGAAUCAUUAUCAGAGCCAAACAAGAAAAAUAAAUGCAUCGUAACGGUGAGGGGAUUGGCAAGAGGGGACUUUAAAUGCAGUGCCCACAAUGAAUCCACCCCUUCCUGUACACUUCUUGCCAGAGCAGAACUGGGAGGUGAGUGUGGGAAAGGGCUCUUGCUGAAAUGUGGGGACAAAUGUGCUCCUCUCUGGCCCUGUCAGCGUCCUUGGCCCAAGACCUUUGAAGGUGCCCUCGACAGCCCCAACAGGUAAAGAUUUCUCUGCUUGAAUGCCAAAUCGCAUUUUAACAGUGCACUAAUUCUUUCAUUUGCUGCCCUACAUGUUUUUAUCCUCAGGCCAUAAUUUUACCUGCCAACUCAGGUAAAUAGCCUUUAAUAGGACAAAGGCUUUAAAAGGUUAUACUGUACUGGAUUUUGUGCUGAGACUGUGUACUUUCACUGCUGAGUCCUCAGAAGAGAGAUUUUGUCAUCUAAACCAAGUGUGAGUCGCCCCAAAAGGCCCCCUUCUUGUAGCGCUUUGGGAAGGGAAGGGUGGCUCUAUCGCCCAUCAGACGGCUUGGCCACUGCUCCUUCAGAAAAUGCUUUCCUCCCCUUGGUGUGAGUGAGCCGGGAGGCUGGAGACUGUCCCCACUGUGUCCACUCGUCAUCUUCCUCCAUAACAUCACUGCACACUGUUAUGCAUGAAUAUUAGACCUGAUGGGCUGGAGACAGCUAAAGGAAAUCACAACUUAGAAGAGAAGAAUUUAAAAUUGAACAGGAACGUGACUUUUCCCCUAUACAAAGGUAUAGCUCUCAAAAAAGAAAAGGAACAAAAUGUAAAAUAACUGCCAUGUAUUAUACCACCUAGAAAUCAAAGAAAAACAUGAAAACCUGCGCAAAAUACAAA